rnacentral:rRNA from 1 species
GACGAACGCUGGCGGCGUGCUUAACACAUGCAAGUCGAACGAUGAAACCUAGCUUGCUAGGUCGAUUAGUGGCGAACGGGUGAGUAACACGUGACUAACCUGCCCCUUUCUCUGGGAUAACGCUCCGAAAGGAGUGCUAAUACCGGAUACUCACACCUGAGCACAUGACUUGGUGUGGAAAGUUUUUCGGAAAGGGAUGGAGUCGCGGCCUAUCAGCUUGUUGGUGAGGUAACGGCUCACCAAGGCGACGACGGGUAGCCGGCCUGAGAGGGCGACCGGCCACACUGGGACUGAGACACGGCCCAGACUCCUACGGGAGGCAGCAGUGGGGAAUAUUGCACAAUGGGCGCAAGCCUGAUGCAGCGACGCCGCGUGAGGGAUGAAGGUCUUCGGAUUGUAAACCUCUUUCAGUAGGGACGAAGCGAAAGUGACGGUACCUAAAGAAGAAGCACCGGCUAACUACGUGCCAGCCGCCGCGGUAA